AAUUCAAACCAAAAUAUUUUCCCUUAUUCCAUCUACCAGCGCACUUGCUUUUCAAGUUGACACCACAAGCAAAUGUCAUCCUCCACAGCAAAACAACAACAAAUCCAAAAGAGAAUGAACUUCACAUGGCAUAGUUCAUUUCACCACAAAACAAUCCUAAUACAAGACUAAGAUAGAUACCAAUUUUCCACCUAAGGCAUGAAACAGAUAAGAGUAACAAUGGAAGUCCAACUCCCUCCCUUCCGAAUUUCAUCCUGUUCUGAUAAAAACAAAGAUGAAAGGGGGGGAAACAUCAUUAUGAUAUCCCACCAAAUGUCGUUGUCAAGACCUAACCUCAGCCUAUGCUGAUUCAGAUAAAAUGUUCGUCAUUCAUGAAAAUUUGGCAACUUUACAAAACUAGUAUUAUGGAGACUAAAAGAGACCCAACUUAAUCAAAUUAAGGGGAAAAGUAAGGGACUGACUGUCAUUAGCUAUAGGAUACUGCAAAUGAGAAAAGUAAUAAAAUAACCAUAACUCAGCCCCAAACAAGUUGAGGUCAGCUAAAUAAAUCCUCUAACUAUGAUUCUCCGUUUAAAUUCAUAUCAGGUCAGCCUUAGCAGAAUAAACUAUAAAAUAAAGAGUAUUAAAUGUUCUCUAUACUUUCAACUAGUAAAAAAUGCAUUCCAGUUAAUUGAUGCUCAUGCAAAUGAUAAAAGACACUACAAGUAAAAAAUGUCUCUCAAAUAGCACAUACUUUUAAUCUUGAGUGCUUUUUAUCUCCACAAAGAAUGCUUCAACUUAAAUUUUAAAAGUUAAUGCUUCAACUUAAAUUAUAAAAGUUAAUCUGUCACCCUACAAUAGUUUUAUACAACGCAUAAAAGUUGAUAGAUGCAGCCAUUUCCCAUUAUUAGUAAAAGUAUUUACCUUAUUAAAAAGGUUGAUAGAUGCAAGCUUUUAACUCAACCAUUUCUGCUCAACUUUAAUGUAUGCAGCAAUCUUGAGCAUUAAAUUUGCCAGUACAAAGUAUCCAAGGAUCAACUAGUUAGUAGUAGUGAAUUCAAAAAAAAUCCUCUGGACUGCUACUAGCAUGACUCGUUGCUAACUCCUACUAUGUGUAGUUUAAACAAAUAGAGCAUAAAGUUAAGCCAUCAGACCAUUGAUUUACUCAGCUAUUAAUUAAACAUGGUUAUUUUUAGGGUUGCUAAUGUUCAUAUGUCGAUUAUUUCAAGACCAUUGAACUUCACUAUAAUGAAAGCACGGGUCUGAAUUUCAUAUCUUUUAUGUGUGCAUUAGCUACAACCAAAGAAGAGAACUGUACAAUAUAUACUGCACAACCCAUUGUGACUGAAUGCAUAUGCAAGUUCAGCUCUAUAUUCAAUAUUUAGGUGCCCAUCUUACUUCAUCCACUGCUAGUGCCCACAUGAGAUGUAUUCUUAUUAACAAACAAAUCUUGCAGUUGAAACAAUGAACUGGCAGUUGUGGGACAAGAGAAAUAAACCGUCAAGAGUCAGUGGAGCACCGGUUAACUCUAACAAUUAUCUGUCUUUGGUGUUGAAAAAUACUUAACAUUCGGGACAACAGUCACUUUCUGAACAAUCUGAUCAAAGCAAGUCUACAGUUCCAGACUUCUAGCGGUAAUUGAUACUAAACCUGUGUAAAUGAAGUGACCUGAUUGUUUUUUCUCCUUUGACCAAAAUAAUGGUUUAUGUUUUUUUAAGUGAAGGUUUAUUAUCUCUGGAAAUCAAAUUAAUAUAAAUUAUUAGUAUAUUAUAUUACUUCAAACUUAAUGUACAUCUCUCCUUUUUUUAAUUAGGUACGGUGGAAUUUCAUUAAAAUUGCAUCUGUAGAUGCUGAAGGCAAAUUCAAUGUGCAUCUUACUGCUAAUCCUUCCAUAUUAUCAUAUAAAUGGCAGGCGAAUAUUUUAAGCACUCUUUGGCCAAAAACAAUAUAACAGUUUGUUCAAACAUGUUAUAUUAAGUAUUACAAUAAAAAGGACCUGAAUAGAGUAGAAUGGUAUAAGAGGAUUCAUACACCUGAUCUGAGAUAAAGAAGUAGUUGUUUGAUCGAUGGAUAGAUUGGCUGUUUGUAUGCUAUUUAACUGCAUAAAUCAAGGUAGGAUGUUUUGUUGAUUAAGCACCCAAGAGUUUGCCAAGUAAUUAAAGAAGUGGGUGAAUACCUUGGAGACUAGAGUUAAAUCCAAGUAUAUUUAAAAAAAAAAACUAGGUGAAUUUUCCCAUUUGUGAUCUGCAAAAGCAUUGGCAGUUAGAGUUACCUAUACCUAUAUUGAUGGGAGGUAGCAGGAACUUGGUAGAAUCAAAGUGGCCAUAAAUCGGCUCGGGACCACCGUCAUAAGAUUAAAAAUAACGAAGGUCGUAUUGAUUAUGACAGAAGUAUCAUAAUUUAAGAUAUGUAGGGUCAUUUCUUAAAAUAGUUCAAUAGUUUGGGAAGGCACUAAGGUGGAAUAUACCAUCAAUAUACUCGUAUGUUUCAGCUUAACUAAGAAUAUUCUCCAAGUAGCUCCUGUGAUGCCUUCUCCCUAACCACUUAUUUAUUUGUUAUUGCAUAUAUCUGUCUCCUCUCAGCUUGCUGCAGCCUAUUAAGUUGUUGUCGCCCCUCUCAAAUUCCUCAUAAUCUUAUUUACAUUUACUUCCCUCCCUUUGUACUUCAACUACAGUCAUCAAUUUCCAUAAUUGCAAUUGCCCUGCAUUUAUACUUUCACAAAAUUCCAGUCAAAUGCUACUUCCAAACUUUUAUGUGUAGCACCAGAUAAAACCUUAAAAAUCUCUUCAUCGAGUGAUUUCUUACAUGUAUGGCGGAUACAGUGAAAUUAGUCGUGAUGGCACAAGUUGGCCCACCACAUUUGUCAAGAAUAUAAAGUGUCUACAUUCUAUUCACCAUACUCUAGAACAACAUUGUAACAAGCAGUACAGGUAACCAAAAUAUGAGCUUGUUUUGGUGGGUGAAUCCGUCUAAAAGAAAUUGGUAAACAUCACGUGAAUUGACCCGUUCAUCCCAAGUUUCCCAACAAAGAGAAGAAACAGAGAAGCAAAAAUACAAUUUCUCUCCUCCAUACCAACGCAGCUUUCAUACUAUGUCGACUUCUCAAGUUUGGGAAUUGACAAAUCCAUUUUUAUUAAGCCAAAUACAUUACACUUGACUGUGCAAAUGCUGAAGCUUUCGAAUACUAGUCGAAUUAAAGUUGCUGCUGACGUUUUGCGGAGGGUCUCACCAAAAGUAAUGGAUGCUUUGGAGCAACGUCCUGUGUAUAUAAGACUGAAGGGUUUGGUAAUUCUUUAUUCAAGUUAUGCAAUUAUUGGCUUCUGUAAAUUUGUAACUCUGAAACAGACAAAGGGUAAAUGUGUAUUAGAGCCUCCAACCAUGCCGUUGGUAGCAAUGUUGACAAACUUGGAAUUACGCAAAGCAAUUGAACAUAAUGAUUGAGUACUGCAAAAAGAAUCUAAAUAGUGAUUUCAUUUUCCUUUUCAUGUUACUCCUAUCUCUUUUUAUGAAUGCUUAUUCAAUUGAUCGGUCCCUGUUUGUAUUAUGGAGAGAGACUGCUAUCAUGUAGAUGUUUCGAUGCUGUUGCUUAUUAUGAGAUUUGACAAAGGCAUAACUUUCCUUGGCUGGAACUCGGAUUUGUUCUUAUUCUGCAGGAAUGCAUGAAAGAUAGAGGUACUCGAGAAAAAGCUUAUGUUGUACAUGCUCCUCUGGAAGUAAUUGGUGGUAUACCCAGACUUAUACGUGCCUGUCGUAUCCAUAAUUUCUGGCAUCUUCUUCCCUCACUCUAGCCACUAUUUUAAUUUAUCUGCUAUUUUAAAGGAAUUUGGUACUUGUAUACCUUAGCUUUUCUAGGGGUGAUAAUUGAUGCGUUCGUUGAAGCUGGUCUUGUUCUUGAAAAGGAUGCAAACCGUGGGUUACUGGUAUAGCUCUCAAUGUGUUAAUUCUUUUUUCAGUUGCAUGCCACAAUAAUGAAUGCGGGAAAUAGAAAAAGCAGUAAAACAUCAGGAAAAACUGAGCCCUUUGAUGCACGAACAAUUUUUGCUCAAUAUGGCAAAGAAGAGUGGGGAGAGUGUUAUAUCCGUGAAGCUCAUCUUUCACAAAGGUUUGUCUACGAUGACAAUGGUUAUUUCCAUUGCUGUGCUUCCAUCCCAUUCCCUGAAGAAAAGCAGGGUGCGUUUCCUACUAUGAAAAACUUUUUUCAGAAAAUGUUUUCUUGAAAAAUAUGUUCUACGGCAAAAUAAGUGAUCAUUUCACAUUUUCUGGUGUGUGUUACAUGUAGUUCAUAUAUGACAUAUGCUUGUAUAAAAAAUUGUUUGAUGGGUCGAUGACAGUUUCUUAGUUUGUACACACUUGGACGCUAUCUACAGCUUUUCGGAUAAUCGUUUCUUGUUACCCCCUGUAUUGUGUUGUAGUAUUAGCUUAAUAACAAUAUUAUCUAGUGUUAAAGUAUAUUGUAUUGUAUGAUUAAAUCCAUUAUAUAUGUAACGACUAAAGACUAAUUUGAUGCAACAACCAUAGGUAUGGAGUGGUUCGAUUAAAUGGUUAUAUGUUACUCUUUUCCAUCA